CUCCUCUGGGGAGUCUUUCCUGUGAGCCUAGAUCUUCAGAUACAGGUGUGCAGGAAGACUUGCUGCUGUUUUGCCACCUCUCAGCUGCUGAAGGCAAGAUCUUCUGAGAGUCUGACUGAUGUGCUGCAGGAGUUGGGAGGUGUUUUGUCCUGAGUCUGGGAGAAACAAGAUACAAAGCUCUACCUUCUCCAGAACAGCACAUUGAAAAAUGUGUCCCAGAUGAACCUUUGAUUUGGAAAGGAAAAUAAGGUCUCCCCCAACAUGACUGCUGUUUCAAACUGAUUUUAUGUGAAAGAUAAUUGGAAAUUAUUGCAUGGCAGUAGAAAGUCCUGAGAAAACCAGGAUAUAAAGAGAAUGUAUGACAGACCUACCCUCACAAAUUGGGUCAGAAAUAUUUACUUCAGUCAUCUUGAAAGUAGAAGUACUCCCUCCAGAUAUCCUCCAGAGCAUCCUAGCUAGUGAAAAUGAAGAGAUCUGAUGAAGAAGACCGAUCCACUCUCUUUUGCUGGACCUUGAGGAACCAGUACUGGGGCAUGUGCCUGUAAGUCUUUCUUGGAUGAGAUUUCUGGCUGGCUUGAAAAAUCCUUGUUUUUCUUGAUGUGGUUAUGACUGUGGUUCAGCAGCAUGUACAAAUAUCUUCAAAUCCAAGCUUCAAGAACCAAAGAAAGUAAAUGGGCAAAUCUUGGGGGCACCCUCUGUAUAAUUUGAGGGGCACAAAGUGAAGACACGAAGCCAGAGUAGGUGAAGAACCUAUGAACUGGCAGUGAAACUGCUAUACUUAAGUAAUGUGGUUAUGCUGCCCAUUCCUUUGCACUAAAGCUGUACUUGCAGGAUCCUUUGGAUGACUUAGAUCUCAGAGAAAAACCUUAUACGGAUAUUUAUUCUUUUAGAACCAUCUGCAAAAUCAAAACGUAGACAAAAUUGUGACCUUUUUCUGCUCUAUUUUGCUGUGGUAUCUGUCUAGGGAUUAGGUGUGAAGGUAAACCAGUUUGUAGUAAAUCUGUAUAUCUUUCAGACCAUGUCUCAUCUGUGUGUGUAAAGAGCUUGAUUAGUAAACUGCGUAUCAGUCUUCAGCAUAAAAGUAUGCUAUAUCAUUUUUAACAGCCUUAAUGUUGCAAAGAUACCAUGAUAUUAUAUUUAUCCUGUCUCUAGUGCUAUGUUAUUAAGAACAAAAUAAGAGAUAAAACAAAAACAACCUCUAGACUAAUGAACAAAUUUAUAGACAAACAUUCCUAUAGCUAAUAUAAGCCAAUAUACAGACUGUUCUCCUAGAUACAAGAUUCAUUGGCAUUAGAUUACAAUCUAAGAUAGUUUGCAAAGGGUUCUUGUCCUUUCACAAGAGCAUGCUUUAGAAAACAAAAUUCUAAGUGUUAUUAACUUAGUCACAGAAUUAUUGGGAGCAAGAGUACAAUGGAAGUAUCUUUUUAAGUCUGAGUGGUGGAAACAAACUACAGUUUAUCAGUGGUUAUAAAAAAAAAAAAAAAGUCCACAGAGUAGUAUCCUGUCAGCUGAAUUCAAAUGGGAAUUGAGUAGAUUCUCAUCUAAAUGAUCUGAGAUAAAAAAAAAAAAUUCUGAGUCUGACAGUACACAUUGUUUCAGUAGUAUAAAGAUAUGUAAAGCAUGGAUGUCAACUCAAUUACAGCUUUGUGGAUGGAAUCUCAGCUGAUCUAAAAGGUGGAACUACACAUCAAUUGUACAAAGUAUCUUUCUGCUGUGAAAGGAGAAAAACUCUUUACAGUUCUGUAUAAACUGCAGGCUAGACUAACUUGCUGUAAUAACUUUAUAACCUGAGGGGAAAAGCUGCAAUAAGAAUCUUGCCUUUCAGAAUAAGCAUCUCUAAGUGCAAACAAAGACAGGAAAGGAAGGAGGUGUGACAUAAACUGGCAUUCUGUUUUUAAGUAGCUAGGAGAGGUAUGUCAAACCAUGAACCCUUCUGAGUAAGGUUGGUUGAGAGAAGAUAUUUUAAUUAUAGCACUAGAAAAAGAAGAUUUAUGAGGUCAAAUGCUCAGCCAAGACUUAUCCCUGUACUGUGAGUCAGCUGAUGAGGCAUGGCUACAAUGAAAAACUUUUUUUCACUUUUAACAUUCAAAUGCAUAACAAACUGCAGAGGCAGGCUGUUUUCCUAACUGAAAAAAAAUUAUGAGUACUUUCAGGAUGAAGCAUUCUAAUUUGAAAUUGGUUUGGACAUUUUGUUUUUGAAUGCGCCAGAAGAGCACUUGGCAGAUGGAGAACUUCUCUAUUAUGAACUUCUCUAUUACGAAGCUCUCAUCCCAGUACCUAACAAGAGGUCACUUUUUAAAUGCUCUUUGCCAAGAUUGUUGCAGAAGAAUGUUCCUGGACUGAGUAAGGACCACGGCCACUCUUUGCUCAUGUAUGUUCUCUCCUCUGCCAGUAGGAUUAUUGACUUUAAUCCUCUUCCCUCCCAGAAUUAUUUUCUUUCCUGGUAGAAAUGAUAUUUGUAGAUGUGGAAGAGAAGAUUGGAGCUCCGACAGAAUACUGUGUACAGAGUACAGACCAUUAGAACAAGCUUUGCAUGAUGAGUCAGAGGAGUUAAGCUUCUGUUAUGCUCUGAAUUGUUGUACUUCAGAUUUUGCCAAGAUGUUGAAAAAGUUGCUGUAGUCUGUAAAACUUAUUAAAUGAUUGACUUCUAGUAGGA